UUGUUUUUGUCUUUUUGUUGUUGUUUUUUCUUUAGAAUUAUUAGAAUAUGUAAAUAAUGUAAUAUAAAUAUUGUUUAUAAAUUCUUUUAUAUUUACUUUAUUAUUUUAUUUAAAUUACUACAUUAUAAGCCGACAGGUUUGACUGGCAAUAUAACUAAUGUUGUUCAUUGUUUAUAUCGUUUAUAAUAUCCUCAGUUUUUAUAUGCAUUUAAUAUUUUUAAAAAUAGUUUAAAAGCUGUCAAAAUAAAAUGGUGAAUUGAGUUUAAAUUAACCAGAAAUAUAAACGUAAUCUUUGGGAUUCAACUUGUAAGGAUGUUCCAAGAACCCCUUAGUUGGAGAAGAAAAACUGUGCCGUUCAUUAACAAGUCCCGUGCUUUAUAAUAUAUAUAAAGAUGGUAAGGACGUGAAGAAAACAGGUUUGUAAAUGAUGUUGUACAUCAUGCAGAUAGCUCAGAAGAAGAAAUUGGUGAAAUGGAGAAUGAGACUAACUACGGUGAAAAAAAAUAAUGAAUAUCAAAAUGUGAAUGGUACUUUGUUUGACAUCUACCUGUUUCUACAGAUACAGUGCAGUCGCAUUUAUAAAUGGGCUUGAUGUUUUCUUGAAUUGCAUAUGUUGUAUUGAUGGUUCUUUUUAACUUGUUAAAACUUGAAGUUAUUAUCAAAUUUAUAUAUACUAUUUUUAUCAAAUAGUUAAUAUAAAAUAAUAAACAUGUAAAUUGCUUUUCUGUAA
rnacentral:lncRNA from 1 species